rnacentral:sRNA from 1 species
GGGUACUGGGCUGGCUGCGGUGGCGCGCGGGCGCGGCACCCGGAAGUCGGCGGCGGCUGAGGCGACCUCACGACCUGUGUCAGCAGAGCUGCCCUGCACCGCCAUGUGCAUCAUCUUCUUUAAGUUUGAUCCUCGCCCUGUUUCCAAAAACACGUACAGGCUCAUCUUGGCAGCCAACAGGGACGAAUUCUAUAGCCGACCCUCCAAGUUAGCUGACUUCUGGGGGAACAACAACGAGAUCCUCAGUGGGCUGGACAUGGAGGAAGGCAAGGAAGGAGGCACAUGGCUGGGCAUCAGCACACGUGGCAAGCUGGCAGCGCUCACCAACUACCUGCAGCCGCAGCUGGACUGGCAGGCCCGAGGGCGAGCACAGCAAAGGGAGACGUCAUUUGCUACUAUGGGAACCGAGGGGAGCCUGAUCCCAUCGUUUUGACGCCAGGCACCUACGGGCUGAGCAAUGCGCUGCUGGAGACGCCCUGGAGGAAGCUGUGCUUUGGGAAGCAGCUCUUCCUGGAGGCUGUGGAACGGAGCCAGGCGCUGCCCAAGGAUAUGCUCAUCGCCAGCCU